rnacentral:rRNA from 1 species
ACGGAGGAUCCAAGCGUUAUCCGGAAUCAUUGGGUUUAAAGGGUCCGUAGGCGGCCUUAUAAGUCAGUGGUGAAAUCUCCUAGCUCAACUAGGAAACUGCCAUUGAUACUGUAGGGCUUGAAUUUUUGUGAAGUAACUAGAAUAUGUAGUGUAGCGGUGAAAUGCUUAGAUAUUACAUGGAAUACCAAUUGCGAAGGCAGGUUACUAACAAACGAUUGACGCUGAUGGACGAAAGCGUGGGGAGCGAACAGG